CAUCUGGGGGAAGGGCAUGAGGAGCGACUGACCAGUGGCGGUGCACAGACCCUACUUCUGGGGUGUUGACCCCCAACAUCUAAGGAAAUGCUCCCUCCUCACCAUUCAGUCUUCUCUUUCUCAGUCAGAGGCCAUCACUGCCACGUCAUGGCUUGACUUUGCAGCUACGUCUUCCAAAGACUUGUUGUUACCCCCCACCUCAGCCCCCCAACCCUCCCAAGGACUUCUGCGGUGAAUCUAGGCUGCCUCCAGACACCUCUGCCUUGUUUGCUGUAGAAUAUUGUCCAACAGUGGACCUUCAUGAUUUCCAAGCACUCAGAAAAAUGCUAUU